rnacentral:rRNA from 1 species
UGAACGCUAGCGGCAGGCCUAACACAUGCAAGUCGAGCGGCACCUUCGGGUGUAGCGGCGGACGGGUUAGUAACGCGUGGGAACGUGCCCUUCUCUACGGAAUAGCCUCGGGAAACUGAGAGUAAUACCGUAUACGCCCUUCGGGGGAAAGAUUUAUCGGAGAAGGAUCGGCCCGCGUCUGAUUAGAUAGUUGGUGGGGUAAUGGCCUACCAAGUCUACGAUCAGUAGCUGGUUUUAGAGGAUGAUCAGCAACACUGGGACUGAGACACGGCCCAGACUCC